rnacentral:lncRNA from 1 species
AGGGCCACACUUGUGGCACUUGUGGCUCCCAGGUUAGGGGUCAACUUGGAGCUACAGCCGCCAGCCUACGCCACAGCAACACCAGAUCUGAGCAGAACUGGCGACCUACACCACAUCUCAUGGCAACGCUGGAUCCCCAACCCACUGAGCAAGGCCAGGGAUCAAACCCCCACCCUUGUAGAUACUAUUUUACAAGAUAAAAGGGUUAUGGGGAUGAAUGGUGGUGAUGGCUGCACAACAAUGUAAAUGUAUCUAUCACUGAACCGUGCACUUCAAAAAAUGGUUAAGAUGGUAAAUUUUACGUUAUGGAUAUUUUUCCACAAUGGAAAAGAAAGAAUUCAAUUACAAAAUCAGCUGAAUGUAAAUAUUAUAAAAAUUUAUUUCUGGGAAAAAAUGGUAGGGAUUGCAGCAUUUUCACUUUCACAAUAUUUAGUGAUAUUUUCAUAUGAUUCAUUUGCUUUUGAGAGUUAAAUUAGAAAACAGAGCUUGUUUACUGGGCAUUAGGAAACCCACAGCACGGACAGGAAAAAGCCGCGAGUGCUGGUUUGCUCCUUGUCGGAUAUGUGAGCCAGUUUCCUCAUCAUAUCUCACCAUUAGACUUGAGAUAAAUCAGUCUGCCCUUAAAAAAAAAAUUUUACACAAAUCCACCCUCUCUGCUGACAAGUCUUGUGAUUUAAAAACAACCUAUUGUGAGGUGAUCUCAAUACACUAAUUGUGUAAAGCAUUUAGAAUGAAGCCAGAUACAUAGCAAACAUUACAUGUGUUAUUCUUAUUCCAGAACUACAAAACUGUAUCCACAAGUCCAAAACUCAAACAAACAAACCCCCCAAAAACUAAAAAUCAAAAAUUUGCCCCCCGAAGUCUGGCACAAAUUAAUUUGGGAGCAAAACCUGAUGUGAACUGAUGGGAGGCUAUUGAUAGUCGAUACUCAUUCCUUAUUCUGCAUUAACAAACUUAACUGAAGAAAUAUUAACAUAUUUGAAUGCUCCUCCACACCCCCAUUAGAGGUAUUAUAUUAUAAUAUACUGUAAUAUAGUAUAGUACAAUAAACUGUAUUACCUCUGUAUUUCCUAAAAAUCUGAAAUACUCUUAAUUUCAAAACAUCCUAAAAAACAAAAAAAGUCCCUGGUCCUGGCCUCAGAAAACAGGAGUUUCAAAGAAGGGACUGUGGACCUAUAUUUUAUUAUCCUUUGUUGGCCAGAGACCUGGUGUGACAACCAGACAAUAUAAGAAAACUCGCCAUCUGGUGGUUGCAGUGGAGAACAAGCAAAACCAAAAUGAAGUAAAAUACACAAAAUACUAUUAUUAAAAUUUCCAAUAGCGUAGCAUUUACAAUAACUGUACGUACACAAAAAACUGACUGCAACUUAAAAUUGAUUACUAAGUUGAUUACACUAUAAAUUGGAAUCACAAAUUUUAAAAUACUUUAAAAUUGCUCUAUCAGUUUGCUGAGAUUUCCUUAUCCCAGAGUGACUCUGAGCAGGUGGAUGUAGCACUUGCUACCUAGACCAGAAUACUCUUCGAUAGCCUGCACUUUCUAAUGCUCUCAUUCUCUUGCUUUCUGCUCUCACAGACUUCCUCUUCUUACCUGAUACAACGAAAAUCAAAGGUCUUCCAACACAUCUUUCACACACAACUUUUAUGCCUGAGGUCAGCACAACUUUUCUGCUAAGGGCCAUUUUGGACACUGUGGGCCAUUUGGUUUCACCUACCUAACUCUGUCAUUGUGGACUGAAAACAGUCAUAGACAUUACAUAUCUAUGACAUAGGCUGCAGCAACACCAGAUCCUUUAACCCACUGCGCCUGGGAUGGAAGCCGUGCCUCAGAGGCAACCUGAGCUGUUGCAGUUGGAUUAACCCACUGUAUCGCAGCAGGAACUCCUAAAAACCAUUUUAAGAUGUAAAAACUAUUCUUAGUUUGUGAGCUGUGCAGACACAGGCAGUGGGCCAGAUUUGGCUCAUGGGAGGGCUAUAGUUUGCUGACACCUGGUUUAACCAAGUUUCGCAACCAAUCAGCAGUGACGUCAAUCCUUGUACAUUCUUUUAAAACUCACAGACCUCUCUGGAAUCUCCCACAUUCAGAAGUUAUUUGGCAGGUAAGAUUUUGUUCAGGGAGUGACCUGGAGUAGGGCUGCACCCCUCCUCCCCACCUUCCUAUGGAACCAUCCAGGCUUAGGUAUCACUUUCAUUGGGACUGUCAAGUGGAAUGCUUUGAGUAGGCAGGUAAAAUAUCGUUUUGCUGUUGCUUUCUUUUCCUUUGCUAACCUGGAAGACUUCAUACCUGUAUCAUUACUCUCUGGUCUAAGAUGUUCCUAAAUAGAGCUAACAGAGAUUGAAAAAACUUUCCAAGCUGGUAAAGCCAGCCAUCUGAUUGUUUUUUUGACCUUGGAGAGGUCAUUAAAACAAAAAAAAUAACAACUUUGCAAUUGGGGGUUCUUUUGUGGCACAGUGGGUUAAGGAUCUGGUGUUGUCACUGCCGUGGUUUGGGUC